rnacentral:rRNA from 1 species
ACGAGAAUAUUCGACAAUGGGCGCAAGCCUGAUCGAGCGACGCCGCGUGAUGGAUGAAGUGCUUCGGUACGUAAACAUCUUUUAUGGAGGAGGAAGUUUUGACGUUACUCCAUGAAUAAGGGGCUCCUAACUCUGUGCCAGCAGGAGCGGUAAUACAGAGGCCCCGAGCGUUACCCGGAAUUACUGGGCGUAAAGGGUGUGUAGGCGGUCAUGUUAGUCGGCUGUUAAAUAUCCGGGGCUUAACCUCGGAAACCCGGUCGAAACGGCAUGACUCGAGAGAGUGAGAGGUGAAUGGAACUCUAGGUGUAGGGGUGAAAUCCGUUGAUAUCUAGGGGAACACCAAAAGCGAAGGCAAUUCACUGGCACUUUUCUGACGCUCAAACACGAAAGCGUGGGUAGCGAACGGGAUUAGAUACCCCCGUAGUCC